rnacentral:lncRNA from 1 species
GUUAGGUUUUCAGAGCUCAGGCUGUGUGUGUGAGAAGAAGCCACUAAGGGCGAAAUGAGAGCUUGAACUGAAGAGAGAAAGGUCUGAUGAAGAACAGUAUGAACUUGGACAGAAACAAGAGAUUUAGAAAGAUUAAGAGAUUUAAGUAUAAGAAAGGGGUAGUUUGAGGGAUUCUUAUCCAAGAACACACUUUGUAUUAUGAAGGAGGAGGGGAAAUCCCCCUCUCUCUCUUAAGAGACACAAAAACGUCCAUACAUAGCUUAUUUAUAAGCUUUACACAUUGCAAACUCAUAAACCCUUAAUCUAAUGGAUAGAAAUGACUGAAUUGAAAUGGAUGGCUAGGAUGGAGUCUGGUGGGUUGCUGAGGACGUGAUGGAUGCUGAUUGGUUGAUUCAAACUGGUCAAAGCAAGGGCUGGCUCCUGAUUGGUUCCCUUAAGGCUCCCAUGAACCUUGUUCACAAAGAUGGCUAGAUACAUGGUCAAGGCUGCUUUUCCUUUACAGCUCAAAGACAGCCUGUCAUUGACCACGCCCUAGCUCUCCCUUAUCCACAAACAGUCACAAGAUAACUCAGGUUUGUCUUCUCUUGCGCCCUAAGUUUGCACAGCUUCAUUUCAGGUUGAUCCGGAACAAGUACGGUCGAUGGUACGGACCGUCUGUCCGUACCUCUCCCUAUUUUUGCACCAACUCCCAAUCUUCUCAAAUGGUUGAGUCUGAACAUGAUCUUGGUCGCCCUAAGUUCGUACGGUCCGUACCGUCCGUACCGAUGCUCGACCCUAUUUCUGCACCAUCACCCAACUGACUCCAAAUGGUGUCUAAGUAUGUCUAAGUCCCUCCUGGACUUGACCCUAACUUUGCACACCUCAUUUGGAUACUUCUGGACACUCCUGAACACUCCUAAAGCCUUGAUAGACAAUCUCCAGAGGUCUUGCCCCAUUCUCGCUCAAGACCCAAACUCAACCCAACUCCUCCUUUGGCUCCAUUUCUUUCUUCAAGUCAACACUCCCCCUCAAGCUUGACUCUAGGUGAUCCUAAGCCAAGCUUGGAACCUUGAAGAACUCCCUCAUUAAAAACCUCACCAAGGAAAACCCUUUGGGACAAAACCUUGAGGAGGGAAAAAGAGUAAAGCCUUCAAGGCCUAGGGAUUGGCCAGUGAGCCUAUGUGCCUUAGUAUCAAUUGGGACAAAACCUUGAGGAGGGAAAAAGAGUAGAGCCUUCAAGGCCUAGGGAUUGGCCAGUGAGCCUAUGUGCCUUAGUAUCACUGAGGUUUAGGCACAUAGGCUCUGGAUCACGGCCUCUUCACUUCACCACACCUUCUUAAACUCUUCUAUAGAACCGGCUUAGUGUCUCCCCCCUUUCACCUGACUUCAUGCCAUCUUGAAAGGCUAGGAACGACCUGAUCCUCUCCAUUGAGUCUCCAAGUAAGGUACCUGAUACAUCAUUCCACAAGUGUAUCAGUUCUCAAGAGAUAAACCUAUCAUGAAUGUAUAUAAAGAGAUUGAUCAGGUUUACUCCCUUGUUUAAAUGUUGAGGAGUGGCUGCUCUUCACACACCACUUGAAUCCCUCACUUGCUGAGCUUAACAGCUCCUUCUCUUAUCAUGCAAGCUCAUCCACACUCCCCCUCAAGCUUGAGACCGAGUAGAGGAAAGGUCCAAGCUUGAUGGUGAGCGCAUGUUAGCUCCAUGAUAAGCCUUGUGGAGAGCACCUCCAUCUCUUUCAGACUUGAUGCUUGAAUCCUCCACUACAUCACCAUUGCACUGAGGAGAUACCUCAGCCCACUCUCCAAGCAUCUCACACUAGCUUGUUGAGUGACUUUCUUCUUCCCUCCACUUCGGCUGGAUCACUCCAUGAUCAGCUUGCAAUGGCCUUGAGUAACACAGGUCAUUGAGCAACAGGAUCAUCAGGUGGCUCACUUUGCUCCCCUCCUCAAGCUUGGAUUGAGUAUGGGUCCAAGCUUGAAGUGAGCCUCAAUGAGCCUUAAGAUCAGGAGCGCAACAUCUCAUAGAGUGCGCUUCAACCACUGAUCAACCCUUCCCUUUAUCUCCAAUGCCUUCUGGUCACCGGUCUCCUCUAGACUUAGGUGAUGACCACUCGCCUUGUGUAUCCACAUACACCCCAGCGACCAUUCCCAAUGGGUAAAGUCUUCCUCUUCUACUCGGAUUGAUGAUGGACAGAGAGCACAUCAUGUGAACCUGAAACAUCACUCAAACUCCAGCAAAGAUAAGACACAAGCAUUGGGAUCAAUCCUUGACUAAUAUCAAGUUUGAUCUCCAAUGUCACAAGCUAUGCAACAGAUUGAAACAAGCAUUAUCAAGUUCACAUCUUUGCAAGCAAUCUCUCUAAGUACAAGCAAGAUCAAAUAAGAUUCAAGACAAGCUACUUAGGCAUUUUAACUUCUGCCUUAACUACACCUUAGACUUGAAUCUAAGUGUAUCAACCUAAGGCAGCAACAAGAUGACAGUAUGCUAUAUAACCUUAAACAGUUUCUAAUUCAUGAGUGCAACAUGAUCAGACAAUACAAUCUAUCACACACUCAUUUAGAACUGUGGCUAAGCAGUAUUAUCAUCAAUCAACAUCAGACAAUGCAAAACCUUAAGUUAUUUCAGUUUAAUGAAAGCUAAUAGGAUUUAGACAGUUUCUAACAUCCUAGCUCAAUCAUAACCAAAUUGGGCAAGCAUUUCAUUUCUCAACAUCAAACAAGACUCAAUAGCAUCCUGGGACUAAACAAGACAAUAUUAUCAAGCAUUUUCAGUCAUUAACCCACGGAUGCAACAUAAAGAACACAACACAACAGCCAGUUUCAAUCACAAGCUCAUAUCAAGAAGGUUUAGGAUUAGCUUACAACCAAGGAACCUGAGCUGGUUCCUUGAGCCUCCUUGGUAACAGGCCACGAAUCUAGUGGAUAAGAGAGCUGGAUCGUCACCCAACACCUUCUCCUUAUGUUCAUAACCUCCUCCUUGACACCACAACACAAAAGGUUCCACCUUUCUUCACAGCUCCAAGUCUCCAACUUCAGGAACAAGAUGAAAGCUUUCUUCUUGAAGGGUUUCAGCUUGGCACAGAGUUGAGACACGCCUUUAAUGGACUGGAGAGAGGAGGAACGACCAGGAGACACCACCAUAGCUUCAAACACCUUCUUUUUGAAGAGAGAGAACAGGCUGGACAUCUUCAAUGGUUUGGAUCUGUGAUGAGGCUAGACUUGUGAUGUAUAUGCGGAAGCUGGAACCAAGUUCUGAUGAACCUGGCUCUGAUACCAUGUUAGGUUUUCAGAGCUCAGGCUGUGUGUGUGAGAAGAAGCCACUAAGGGCGAAAUGAGAGCUUGAACUGAAGAGAGAAAGGUCUGAUGAAGAACAGUAUGAACUUGGACAGAAACAAGAGAUUUAGAAAGAUUAAGAGAUUUAAGUAUAAGAAAGUUGCAAGGAUUAUCAAAGCAUUUACCCACCUACAAGAGAUCCAGGGAGUUACAGUCCUAUCCAGGGCUACACCAGGGUAGUUUGAGGGAUUCUUAUCCAAGAACACACUUUGUAUUAUGAAGGAGGAGGGGAAAUCCCCCUCUCUCUCUUAAGAGACACAAAAACGUCCAUACAUAGCUUAUUUAUAAGCUUUACACAUUGCAAACUCAUAAACCCUUAAUCUAAUGGAUAGAAAUGACUGAAUUGAAAUGGAUGGCUAGGAUGGAGUCUGGUGGGUUGCUGAGGACGUGAUGGAUGCUGAUUGGUUGAUUCAAACUGGUCAAAGCAAGGGCUGGCUCCUGAUUGGUUCCCUUAAGGCUCCCAUGAACCUUGUUCACAAAGAUGGCUAGAUACAUGGUCAAGGCUGCUUUUCCUUUACAGCUCAAAGACAGCCUGUCAUUGACCACGCCCUAGCUCUCCCUUAUCCACAAACAGUCACAAGAUAACUCAGGUUUGUCUUCUCUUGCGCCCUAAGUUUGCACAGCUUCAUUUCAGGUUGAUCCGGAACAAGUACGGUCGAUGGUACGGACCGUCUGUCCGUACCUCUCCCUAUUUUUGCACCAACUCCCAAUCUACUCAAAUGGUUGAGUCUGAACAUGAUCUUGGUCGCCCUAAGUUCGUACGGUCCGUACCGUCCGUACCGAUGCUCGACCCUAUUUCUGCACCAUCACCCAACUGACUCCAAAUGGUGUCUAAGUAUGUCUAAGUCCCUCCUGGACUUGACCCUAACUUUGCACACCUCAUUUGGAUACUUCUGGACACUCCUGAACACUCCUAAAGCCUUGAUAGACAAUCUCCGGAGGUCUUGCCCCAUUCUCGCUCAAGACCCAAACUCAACCCAACUCCUCCUUUGGCUCCAUUUCUUUCUUCAAGUCAACACUCCCCCUCAAGCUUGACUCUAGGUGAUCCUAAGCCAAGCUUGGAACCUUGAAGAACUCCCUCAUUAAAAACCUCACCAAGGAAAAC